CCCGCGACCAAGCGGUGGAGCAUGUGGUUUAAUUCGUAAGCAACGCGAAGAACCUUACCAGGUCUUGACAUCCCGAUGCUAUUUCUAGAGAUAGAAAGUUACUUCGGUACAUCGGUGACAGGUGGUGCAUGGUUGUCGUCAGCUCGUGUCGUGAGAUGUUGGGUUAAGUCCCGCAACGAGCGCAACCCCUAUUGUUAGUUGCCAUCAUUCAGUUGGGCACUCUAGCGAGACUGCCGGUAAUAAACCGGAGGAAGGUGGGGAUGACGUCAAAUCAUCAUGCCCCUUAUGACCUGGGCUACACACGUGCUACAAUGGUUGGUACAACGAGUUGCGAGUCGGUGACGGCGAGCUAAUCUCUUAAAGCCAAUCUCAGUUCGGAUUGUAGGCUGCAACUCGCCUACAUGAAGUCGGAAUCGCUAGUAAUCGCGGAUCAGCACGCCGCGGUGAAUACGUUCCCGGGCCUU
rnacentral:rRNA from 1 species